rnacentral:rRNA from 1 species
UACGGGAGGCAGCAGUAAGGAAUAUUGGUCAAUGGGCGCAAGCCUGAACCAGCCAUGCCGCGUGCAGGAAGACGGCCCUACGGGUUGUAAACUGCUUUUGUACCGGAAUAAACCUUUGUUCGUGAACGAAGCUGAAUGUACGGUAAGAAUAAGGAUCGGCUAACUCCGUGCCAGCAGCCGCGGUAA